GUCUUUUUGAAUUAUAUUAAAAGUCUAACCUGCCCAAUGUAAGCAUGAAUGGCCGCGGUAUUUUGACCGUGCUAAGGUAGCAUAAUAAAUAGUCCAUUAAUUAUGGUCUCGAAUGAAAGGUUUAACAGAAAAUGACUUUUUUAUUAUUAAAUUUGAAUUUUAAUUGUCAGUUAAAAUGCUUACGUAAAAAAGAGGGACGAGAAGACCCUAUAGAGCUUUAUACAAAAAUUUUACUGAUAGUACUAUUUAAAUUAUUGUAUUUUGUUGGGGCGACAAUAAAUCUUAAACAUUUAAGCUAUUAUCUACUAUACUAGGCUAAAUGAUCCAUUAGUAAUGAUAAAAGACUAAGCUACCUUAGGGAUAACAGCGUAAUUUUAUUCUAGAGUUCUUAUCGACAAUAAAGAUUGCGAC
rnacentral:rRNA from 1 species